GUGUCAGCAGCCGCGGUAAAACGUAGGAGGCGAACGUUAUCCGGAUUUACUGGGCGUAAAGAGCGCGAAGGCGGUCUUGCAAGUCGGGCGUGAAAUCUCCCGGCUCAACUGGGAGGGGUCGUUCGAUACUGCAGGACUUGAGGACGGGAGAGGGGAGUGGAAUUCCCGGUGUAGUGGUGAAAUGCGUAGAUAUCGGGAGGAACACCAGUGGCGAAGGCGGCUCCCUGGCCUGUACCUGACGCUAAGAUGCGAAAGCGGGGGGAGCGAACGGGAUUAGAAACCCCGGUAGUCCACGCCGUAAACGAUGCGGACUAGGUGUGGGAGGUAUUGACCCCUUCCGUGCCGUAGCUAACGCGUUAAGUCCGCCGCCUGGGGACUACGGCCGCAAGGCUAAAACUCAAAGGAAUUGACGGGG
rnacentral:rRNA from 1 species